GCAGCCGCGGUAAUACGUAGGGAGCGAGCGUUGUCCGGAUUUACUGGGUGUAAAGGGUGCGUAGGCGGAUCUGCAAGUCAGAAGUGAAAUCCACGGGCUUAACCUGUGAACUGCUUUUGAAACUGUAGGUCUUGAGUGAAGUAGAGGUAGGCGGAAUUCCCGGUGUAGCGGUGAAAUGCGUAGAGAUCGGGAGGAACACCAGUGGCGAAGGCGGCCUACUGGGCUUUAACUGACGCUGAGGCACGAAAGUGUGGGUAGCAAACAGGAUUAGAUACCCC
rnacentral:rRNA from 1 species